UACGAAGGGGGCUAGCGUUGUUCGGAUUUACUGGGCGUAAAGCGCACGUAGGCGGAUCGUUAAGUCUGGGGUGAAAUCCUGGAGCUCAACUCCAGAACUGCCUUCGAUACUGGCGAUCUAGAGUCCGGAAGAGGUGAGUGGAACUCCUAGUGUAGAGGUGGAAUUCGUAGAUAUUAGGAAGAACACCAGUGGCGAAGGCGGCUCACUGGUCCGGUACUGACGCUGAGGUGCGAAAGCGUGGGGAGCAAACAGG
rnacentral:rRNA from 1 species